CCCGGGGCAGACGGGCUCCGGCCUCAGAGGAGAGAGGCUGAUGAAACGCUGUCAAAGUCAAUCCCGGCUCACUUUUUGGAUGGUUUAAUUCCAAUGGAGCAUGAAUCACCCCAGGACGGUUAAUAAGUUUAGCCAGGCGUGCUGUUCUCCCUAACAAUACAUUAUAAUUAUGCAUCUGUUUUAAAUGCGAUCGGAUUAAGUCACCGGAAAAGGCACAAAUCGGCAUUUCCCCCGACUAAGAACGGCGCCUUUCCGCAGCUCCGGCGGGCAGGUACGGCCAGGAGAGGAGCAGGUGGGCAGCCCCAGCCAGCCCGGCGGCGCUCCACUCCCCGCGGCCGCCCAGCGCACGGCAACUUACCGCGGGCACUCGGUGCCGGCGGAGCGGGGGAACCGGACGGGAGGCGGCCGGGCACCCCGCUGACACCGAGCGUGAGGGACCAGCCCAGGACAUGCCAACUUGCAUCGCCGGGUCCCCUCCCGCUGCGUGGGGCCGGAGAGGAUCGAGUCCGAGCCGUCAAAGCUCCGGGACCCUCCGGCGCCGCUCCGGGCACCAGGAGCGGGACGGCCGAAGCUCUGCUCCCGACAGACACCAAUUCUCAAUAUGCUUCUGGAGCUGCUGCCAAGAUCCCAGUCAUCACGACUUCGUCCUCCUUGCUGCAGUGGAAUUGCUGAAUUCACACACUUGAAAGAAAGGGCAGCCUUCCUCCCAAUGGCAAGAGCUGUCUCCAGUGGAGAUAACCUGCUUUGUAAAAAGAUACGGAUGGCAACAUGUGCAUGCAGCACCCCCCUGUCAGCUCUGGGACUCCACAAGCCAGGGACACGCCAGGGGCAGCAGCCAGAAAGAGCCAGCGCAGAAACCUGGAGACAAAUUGAACAAAAAAAUUAUUGAUGCUGUUAAACAACACCACAAAAGAAAACAAGAGAGUAGAAAUCAAAUAAUGAUAAAAGAAUUCCUUCUCUUCUUAGAGUUAGUUAAAAGUAUUAGGUGCAUGUAGUUAUGAACAACAUGAUAUUUUACUUUAUCAUUGAGAGAUACCAGACAACAUUCUGACUCACAGCAGAUUUACAAUGUGAUGUACAGGAACCACAAGGUGUCAGAAGAGCUAAUUUAGAAGUUCAGAUCUGUCACUAAGCAAAUAUUUUGAAAGCAGUCUUCACCUCCAGAAAGUCACAGACUGUGGUGCCAGGGAAGAGGGAAGAGGUGUAGGAUUGUAAUAACACAAAAUAAUAACAGUAAUUGUAAAGAUAACUAGAGUUACUUGGUCUAACAGCUGUUCUACUGUGUAGAGCCUAGCAGACAAAUUCACUUUGUUUUUCUUUAUUGCAAAUAUGACAAUCAAAGUUAUCUGUUUCAAUACCAGUUGGGAAAUUUCUUCAUUAAAGACAUUAUGGACUCUGAGUCACCGUGCUACAAGACAUUCCACCUAAACGGUGCCUGAAAGAUUAAGUUGUGGCACAGCAUGUAGAAAUACAUGUCUGUCACAGUGACAGAUUUGGUUAACUGGUCACUGAGUAUGAGACCUUAAAUGUCAGGGUAAUGCAUGUGGCACAGAUCCCUCAACAGAUUAGAUUAGACACCUCAAUUUCUAUACACUGGGUUCAUUUGCUGGAGCUUGUAAAAAAUAUUUGUGCCAACUUCCUUAAAGCAUCUGAGAAGAAAAAGGCUAACCCCUUGAAAGCUGCUGGGGUUUUUGAUUAGAAUUAGGCAACUGGAUAUUAAAUGUUACUAUAGGAAUAAUUGGAUAAUAAGUGGAUUUUUUUUUUGCCAGUUCUUAUGCUCAGUUACUAUCAAAGAAAUGUCAUAACAUACUGUGCCUAAUCUUGAACAAUCCAAAUGACACCCAAAGAUGUGGCUUAAUGAACCUCAGAAAUGUAAACUUUGGUCCAUUUUGAAACACCCAUGCAGUCAAGAAUAAACUGGUGUUAUCUAAGGAAGGAAAAAUAUUUUAUUUGAUCAAAAAUGCAGAAAAAGGAGUAGAGGAGAAUGCUUUAGCCAAGUGCUGCUUUCACAAUUAGUCACUAAUCCAUAGAGGUAAUGUUGUUGGAUUCUGUGGACUAGGAUCCAAGCUGUUGUUUUCCUUUCAUGCUAACAAGAUCAUGUUAAUCUUCAAAGACACCAGUGUUUCUGCUUUCUCUAAGAAAUUCCUUUUUGGUUUUUUUUUUUUU